UCCACUGUUGUUUUUGUGAUUGCAGUAAAAUUGAAAUGUUUCUCGAAAAAUGAGCCACACAAUGUUGGAUGGAAAACGUUCUUCGAACAAAAAAAAAAACCAAAAACGCCGAUAAUCCGUAUUUAUCGUAAAGAAAGUCAGGUGCGAUGUACGUUCGACGUUAUUUCGAUGACCGUUCACUCGGACCAUAAGGAAUCUAGUUGUGAGAUUUGCUCCAAAUAAUUUCACCGAAAAUAUCAACUGAAGACACAUCUUCCAACGCACUUUAAGGUGAACGGUCUGACGAAACAGGAUUUUGCUUCGAUGCCCUUGAAUGCAUUAAGACUGCAAUAGAAACCGGUAAUAAAAACGAAAGAUUUUAUAUGUACCACCUGUUCAAAAGUGUGAAGCACCCGAAACCAUCUGAGGAGUCGUAUGAUAACCCAUUCCAAUUUUAAACCGUACUUCUGUGAGACUUGCUGGAAAGCAUUUAAGAGACUCGGUAGUUUGCGAAACCAUUUCACGAUCUACCAUGCCGAUUACGUACAGAAUUACAUGGAUUAUGGGUAUGUCGACGAAAAGAAUGUGUGAUGCGUCAUGUGUUCGAAAAGCUUCGGCUGUAAAUACAGCGUUAAGUUGCAUUUGUUUUCCAAUUUGGAUAUAAAACCAUACGAAUGCAGGAUCUGUUCAAAAGUUACGGAAACAUCUUCGAAAGCAUGUUGAUGGAAACGACAGUCCACCCUCGGAACAGUUGACUGUCUGUAAGGAAGAAGUUGAAAUCGUCGAGCAACUGAUAAAAAUGGUGGAUCCUAAGCCUAAGUCGAAAGUUGUUCUGAGAAGAAUUAAAUGGAAUUGACUUCAGUCGAAUAUUCAUUUCAAUAGUACGACGUUUCACAUCUACUUGGACAUUGGUUUUAUUUUAGUUUGAAUUUUGAUUGUUUAAGUGCCCAAUUUGACAAUUUUGUAAAAGUUUUUGAAUCACAUCGAA